rnacentral:lncRNA from 1 species
CCUGGAAGAGCUCAUAGCCAAGGAAGGGUGAAGACGGCGCGCUGCGGUGUGCGGCUUCUAGGCUGUGGAGCUCUAGUGUUGCCUUUUGGGUUCAGGGACCCACUGGGCCACUGUGAGGUGGGCUGGAGCUGCAUUUCACCGACUGCCUUGCUGCAGGAGCCCUGCUCUGACUGGAGGGCCACAGAGCACACCGGGCCCCCCCGUAAGCCAGGUGGCCUUAACGCCUGCCAUUCUCCACAGAGGGUAGAGUUGCAGGAGCUUCCACUUUGAUUUUCCCACUACAAGACUCACUCUGUUGAUCAAGGAACCAGUUGAGGUUUUGCCCAGUUGCCAGCUUCAAAUACAUACUUCAUCGCCUGCUUGGUGAAAAUGGAGCUGGGCCCUAAAUUGUUUCUCCUUUAAAGCAGCAGGAGUGAUUGCCCAUUGACUGUGGACCAGCUCUGGCUACGGGAAAACCAGAGAACCUCUCCAUCAUCCAUACUGCACCAAACAGCAUCUCUGCAACCACACCUUUUCCAAGAUUUGAGCCCCAGCCUUGGGGAGGAGGCCAUCUUUCACAUUUUCUCCUUCCUUGGGAACUCUCUGUCAGCCCAGAGUAUUCUUUUGCAUUAUCUUUAGCCCUGUACAGAUAAUUCCAUUAUAGUAAAUAAUCCUUUAUAUUAAACGUUCCUUGCCCAAAUGACUGUGCAG